AUUGAACGCUGGCGGCAGGCCUAACACAUGCAAGUCGAGCGGAGCGGCGGACGGGUGAGUAAUGCCUAGGAAUCUGCCUGGUAGUGGGGGAUAACGUCCGGAAACGGGCGCUAAUCCCGCAUCCUAUCAGAUGAGCCUAGGUCGGAUUAGCUAGUUGGGGGGGUAAAGGCCGACCAGGGCGACGAUCCGUAACUGGUCUGAGAGGAUGAUCAGUCACACUGGAACUAGGACACGGGCCAGACUCCUACGGGAGGCAGCAGUGGGGAAUAUUGGACGAUGGGCGAAAGGCUGAUCCAGCCAUGCCGCGUGUGGGAAGAAGGUCUUCGGAUUGUAAAGCACGUUAAGUGGGGAGGCGUUACUAACAGAAUAAGCACCGGCUAACUGCGUGCCAGCAGCCGCGGUAAUAC
rnacentral:rRNA from 1 species